CAUGCAAGUCGCAGGGUAACAUGAGGAAAGCUUGCUUUCCUUGAUGACGACUGGCGCACGGGUGAGUAACGCGUAUCCAACCUUCCCAUAACUACGGGAUAACCCGUUGAAAGACGGCCUAAUACCGUAUGAUAUCGUUUGCUGACAUCAAAUAACGAUUAAAGGUUUAGCGGUUAUGGAUGGGGAUGCGUCUGAUUAGCUUGUUGGCGGGGUAACGGCCCACCAAGGCUACGAUCAGUAGGGGUUCUGAGAGGAAGGUCCCCCACAUUGGAACUGAGACACGGUACCAAACUCCUACGGGAGGCAGCAGUGAGGAAUAUUGGUCAAUGGGCGAGAGCCUGAACCAGCCAACGUAGCGUGCAGGAUGACGGCCCUAUGGGUAUGUAAACUGGCUUUUAUUGGGGAUAAAGUGCGUGACGUGUCAUGCAUUGCAGGUACCACAUGAAUAAGGACCGGCUAAUUCCGUGCCAGCAUCCCGGUAAUACGGAAGGUCCGGGCGUUAUCCGGAUUUAUUGGGUUUAAAGGGAGCGUAGGCUGUCUAUUAAGCGUGUUGUGAAAUUUACCGGCUCAACCGGUGGCUUGCAGCGCGAACUGGUCGACUUGAGUAUGCAGGAAGUAGGCGGAAUUCAUGGUGUAGCGGUGAAAUGCUUAGAUAUCAUGACGAACUCCGAUUGCGCAGGCAGCUUACUGUAGCAUAACUGACGCUGAUGCUCGAAAGUGCGGGUAUCAAACAGGAUUAGAUACCCUGGUAGUCCGCACGGUAAACGAUGGAUGCUCGGCUAUUCGUCCUAUUUGGAUGAGUGCCAUAGUGAA
rnacentral:rRNA from 1 species